AUGACGGAGCCUCAAACUACAAUGCCCAGAAUGCCCGGCUCUCGCCAUUGCCGUCUAGCCACGCUCCACCCCGCGCGAUGGAAUGUGGUUUUUACUGAUGAAAUGAUGCAUUUCGAUACAGAAUUCCUGAGAGAGUCGUGCAUGCUAAAGGAGCAGGUGCCUUUGGCUACUUUGAGGUCACACAUGACAUCACCAGAUACUACAAGGCCAAGGUGUUUGAGCAUAUUGGGAAGAGACUCCCAUUGCUGUUCGAUUUUCAACUGUUGCUGGAGAGUCUGGCUCAGCUGACAGUUUGUGACCCUCGUGGCUUUGCACUGAAGUUUUAUACUGAUGAUGGGAACUGGGAUCUUGUUGGAAAUAACACCCCCAUUUUCUUCAUCAGGAAUGCCAUCUUGUUUCCAUCCUUCAUUCAUAGCCAGAAGAGAAAUCCUCAGACAUACCUGAAGGAUCCUGACAUGGUCUGGGAUUUCUGGAGCCUACGCGCUGAGUCUUUGCAUCAGGUUUCUUUCUUGUUCAGUGACCAAGGGAUUCCAGAUGGACUUCGGCACAUGAAUGGACAUGGAUCACAUACUUUCAAGCUGGUUAAUGUCAAUGGAGAGGCAAUUUACUGCAAAUUCUAUUACAAGACUGACCAGGGCAUUAAAAACCUCUCUGUUGAAGAUGCAGCAAGACUUUCCCAGGAAGAUCCUGACUCUGGCCUUCGAGAUCUUUUCAAUGCCAUUGCUAAAGGCAACUAUCUCUCCUGGACUUUCUACAUUCAGGUUAUGACCUUUAAGCAGGCAGAAACUUUUCCAUUUAAUCCAUUUGAUCUCACCAAGAUUUGGCCUCACCAUUACUACCCUCCUAUCCCAGUUGGCAAACUGGUCUUAAACUGAAAUCCAGUUAAUUACUUUGCUGUAGUGGAGCAGAUAGCAUUUGAUCCAAGCAACGUGCCACCUGGAAUUGAGCCCAGCCCUGACAAAAUGCUGCAGGGUGGCCUUUUUUCCUAUCCUGACACAUCACCGCCUGGAACCCAACUGUUUUCAGAUACCUGUGAGCUGUCCCUACCGUGCUAGAGUCACCAACUACCAGCGUGAUGGCCCCAUGUGCAUGUAUGACAAUCAGGGUAGUGCUCCAAAUGACUGCCCCAACAGCUUCAGCGCUCCUCAGGAGCAGUGCUCAGUUCUGGAGCACAACACCCAGUGCUCUAUGGAUGUGAAGCACUUCAACAGUGCCAACGAAGAUAAUGUCACUCAGGUGAGGGCUUUCUAUACAAAAGUGCUAAGUGAAGAGGAGAGGAAGUGCCUGUGUGAGAACAUUGCUGAUCAUCAACUUUUCAUCCAGAAGAAAGUGGUGAAGAACUUCACUGAUGUCCACCCUGACUAUGGGGCCCGAAUCCAGGUUCUUUUGGACAAGUACAACACUGAGAAGUCUAAGAACACCAUUCACACCUAUACAUAGGCGGGUCUCACUUGGCUGCAAAGGAGAAAUCUAACUGUGAGCUCUGGGCCUCCUCCCUGGCAGAGCCCUGCCUGGGAAAAGCCCAACUUUCACCUGUCAUCCGAUCACCGCUGGUUGGAAGGUUCUCCAGUGUUAAGAUGCACACCCAAAAGCUAAUGUCUUUAAAAUGAUAAUCCAGGUUUCUCUAGCAAUAAUGCAGCAAUGGCUUUUAAUGCUGUUUCCCUAGGGGAAAAAUAAAGGUUAGGGAUUACAGAUCAUUUAA